rnacentral:misc_RNA from 1 species
GAUGAAGAACGCAGCGAAAUGCGAUAAGUAAUGUGAAUUGCAGAAUUCAGUGAAUCAUCGAGUCUUUGAACGCACAUUGCGCCCCCUGGUAUUCCGGGGGGCAUGCCUGUCCGAGCGUCAUUGCCGCCCUCAAGCACGGCUUGUGUGUUGGGCCCCCGCCCCCCGGCUUCGGGGGGCGGGCCCGAAAGGCAGCGGCGGCACCGCGUCCGGUCCUCGAGCGUAUGGGGCUUCGUCACCCGCUCUGUAGGCCCGGCCGGCGCCCGCCGGCGACCCCAAUCAAUCUUUCCAGAUUGACCUCGGAUCAGGUAGGGAUACCCGCUGAACUUAAGCAUAUCAAUAAGCGGAGGA